ACAGACCCGAAACAGGCGACCAUAAUUCGCACGAGACAUCCCUCAGCAGAGCAACGUUUUCUGUCACGGAGACGCGGCGAAAUAUUCAACAUCGCGCUCGAUAACCACAAGAUGAUACAGGUUCAUGGAAUUGAUCAUGGUUUGCAUAAAUAAUAUAGUGUUGUUUUGCUAUUAUUGACCAUAUUCUAUCCCUAUGGAAGUGGAUAAUGUUACAGUAUUGAGGAUAAUAACAGAGAACCAUAUUCUUUUCAGUAAAAUAACAAAGGCUGUAUUUUAUUGUAUGUUUGCAUACUGAUAAUUAUAUGUAUCAAUCAUUUUCAUUAUAGAUUUCAUCAAUUAUUCAUA